GUGUCAGCAGCCGCGGUAAGACAGAGGGUGCGAACGUUGUUCGGAAUUACUGGGCGUAAAGCGCGUGUAGGCUGUUCGGAAAGUCGGGUGUGAAAGCCCUGGGCUCAACCUAGGAAGUGCACUCGAAACUCCCGAACUGGAGUCCCGGAGAGGAAGGUGGAAUUCUCGGUGUAGAGGUGAAAUUCGUAGAUAUCGAGAGGAACAUCGGUGGCGAAGGCGGCCUUCUGGACGGUGACUGACGCUGAGACGCGAAAGCGUGGGGAGCAAACAGGAUUAGAAACCCCCGUAGUCC
rnacentral:rRNA from 1 species